AAGCGUACGCUGGCGGCACGCUUAACACAUGCAAGUCGAACGAAGUAGCAAUACUUAGUGGCAGACGGGUGAGUAACAUGUGGGUAUCUGCCCUUUGGCCUGGAAUAACACGAGGAAACUUGUGCUAAUACCGGAUAAGUCUUUACGGAGAAAGCUUUAUGCACCAUUGGAUGAGCCCGCACUUGAUUAGUUUGUUGGUGGGGUAAUGGCCUACCAAGACUGUGAUCAAUAGCUGAUUUGAGAGGAUGAUCAGCCACAUUGGGACUGAGACACGGCCCAAACUCCUACGGGAGGCAGCAGUGGGGAAUCUUGCACAAUGGAGGAAACUCUGAUGCAGCGAUGCCGCGUGAGUGAAGAAGGCCCUUGGGUUGUAAAGCUCUUUCGUCGGGGAAGAAAAUGACUGUACCCGAAUAAGAAGGUCCGGCUAACUUCGUGCCAGCAGCCGCGGUAAUACGAAGGGACCUAGCGUAGUUCGGAAUUACUGGGCUUAAAGAGUUCGUAGGUGGUUGAAAAAGUUAGUGGUGAAAUCCCAGAGCUUAACUCUGGAACUGCCAUUAAAACUUUUCAGCUAGAGUAUGAUAGAGGAAAGCAGAAUUUCUAGUGUAGAGGUGAAAUUCGUAGAUAUUAGAAAGAAUACCAAUUGCGAAGGCAGCUUUCUGGAUCAUUACUGACACUGAGGAACGAAAGCAUGGGUAGCGAAGAGGAUUAGAUACCCUCGUAGUCCAUGCCGUAAACGAUGUGUGUUAGACGUUGGAAAUUUAUUUUCAGUGUCGCAGCGAAAGCGAUAAACACACCGCCUGGGGAGUACGACCGCAAGGUUAAAACUCAAAUGAAUUGACGGGGACCCGCACAAGUAGUGGAGCAUGUGGUUUAAUUCGAAGAUACGCGCAGAACCUUACCAACACUUGACAUGUUCGUCGCAACUCUAAGAGAUUAGAGUUUUCGGUUCGGCCGGACGAAACACAGGUGCUGCAUGGCUGUCGUCAGCUCGUGUCGUGAGAUGUUGGGUUAAGUCCCGCAACGAGCGCAACCCUCACUUUUAGUUGCCAUCAUUAAGUUGGGCACUCUGAAAGAACUGCCAGUGAUAAGCUGGAGGAAGGUGGGGAUGACGUCAAGUCCUCAUGGCCCUUACGUGUUGGGCUACACACGUGCUACAAUGGUAUCUACAACAGGAAGCAAGACUGCGAGGUCAAGCAAAUCCUUAAAAGAUACCUCAGUUCGGAUUGCACUCUGCAACUCGAGUGCAUGAAGCUGGAAUUACUAGUAAUCGUGGAUCAGCGUGCCACGGUGAAUGCGUUCCCGGGUCU
rnacentral:rRNA from 1 species